UAUAGAAUUGGAACAACUAUUGUAUUUGAUUUUGAAAACUCUGUAUUAGCUGUCUUCAAGGGUCUUUGGUUUAUUUUGCUUGGCAUAGCAUCUAUCAAUGGAUGUACCUAUAAUAUUAUUUCUGAAAUAAUACUAAUAGUCCAUGCUAUCAGCAAUUCAUUUUGCCUUCCAGUACUAAACAUGAAGUGAGCUAAGAUGUCAGAAUAUACUUGCUUAAGAUGAAAAACAUGCUUCCCUCUUAUGACUUCUAAUAUAAUCUAUGUUGACUCUGCUAUUUAUAGAACUGUGGUCCGUGAUUCCAAAGGUCGAAGUAAUAUCAAAACUCGUGGCCUCCAAAAAAGGAUUUCUUGAUUUUAAAAUUUAGAGAAAUACUGCAUUAAAUAACUUAAGUAAUAGUUCUUAUAAGAUUUCAGAUUAUAGGAGUAUGUAUUCACAAAAUCCAAUACAAUAUUCUGUUUCUAUGAGAAACAUAUGAUAUAUUUCCCACACUUAUUGGCCUCACAACCCAUUACUCUCCUGUCAUUCAUAUCACCUUUGUUUGUUUUUCCAGAACACUUAUUAGAAUUGCAGCCCAGAAAAAGUAAUUGUCUUACAUAACCAAGGGGGGGAAAAAAAACAAGAAAACAGACUCAAACCUUAGGAAACUGAAUUCAUAGUGAUCUAAAAUAAUAGGCUCACCGGCAAUUUCUUCUGAAAGAAAACUAAUAAUCCAGGGAACAAUAACAACAAAACAAAAAGAGAAGCCAUUGCAUUUAUUUUCUGAGGCUCUCAGGCAUCCCUAAGUCCAGUUGUGUGCCAUUUACCAUAAAGAGCUUGGCCUUUCUUCAAUUGUGCCAUCUGUUGAAGCACAGAAUCACAUCACUACUUUAUGACCUAGUGAUUCAAAAUAGCUUUUGUUUUAAGAAAGAGAGGACAUGUCAUGGACAAACCUUCGCUAUUAAUCCAG
rnacentral:lncRNA from 1 species